CAGUCGCCGCGGUAAUACGGAGGGUGCAAGCGUUAAUCGGAAUUACUGGGCGUAAAGCGCACGCAGGCGGUCUGACAAGUCAGAUGUGAAAUCCCCGGGCUUAACCUGGGAACUGCAUUUGAAACUGUCAGGCUGGAGUCUUGUAGAGGGGGGUGGAAUUCCAGGUGUAGCGGUGAAAUGCGUAGAGAUCUGGAGGAAUACCGGUGGCGAAGGCGGCCCCCUGGACAAAGACUGACGCUCAGGUGCGAAAGCGUGGGGAGCAAACAGGAUUAGAGACCCCUGUAGUCCCUGUCUCUUAUAA
rnacentral:rRNA from 1 species